rnacentral:rRNA from 1 species
CCUACGGUCAGCAGCAGUGGGGAAUAUUGGACAAUGGGCGAAAGCCUGAUCCAGCCAUGCCGCGUGUGUGAAGAAGGCCUUCGGGUUGUAAAGCACUUUCAGUGGGGAAGAAAGCCUUGGGGCUAAUACCCUCGAGGAAGGACAUCACCCACAGAAGAAGCACCGGCUAACUCCGUGCCAGCAGCCGCGGUAAUACGGAGGGUGCGAGCGUUAAUCGGAAUUACUGGGCGUAAAGCGCGCGUAGGCGGUCUGAUAAGCCGGUUGUGAAAGCCCCGGGCUCAACCUGGGAACGGCAUCCGGAACUGUCAGGCUAGAGUGCAGGAGAGGAAGGUAGAAUUCCCGGUGUAGCGGUGAAAUGCGUAGAGAUCGGGAGGAAUACCAGUGGCGAAGGCGGCCUUCUGGACUGACACUGACGCUGAGGUGCGAAAGCGUGGGUAGCAAACAGGAUUAGAUACCCUUGUAGUC